rnacentral:rRNA from 1 species
GAUGAACGCUGGCGGCGUGCCUAAUACAUGCAAGUCGAGCGAACGGACGAGAAGCUUGCUUUUCUGAUGUUAGCGGCGGACGGGUGAGUAACACGUGGAUAACCUACCUAUAAGACUGGGAUAACUUCGGGAAACCGGAGCUAAUACCGGAUAAUAUUUUGAACCGCAUGGUUCAAAAGUGAAAGACGGUCUUGCUGUCACUUAUAGAUGGAUCCGCGCUGCAUUAGCUAGUUGGUAAGGUAACGGCUUACCAAGGCAACGAUGCAUAGCCGACCUGAGAGGGUGGUCGGCCACACUGGAACUGAGACAUGGUCCAGACUCCUACGGGAAGCAGCAGUAGGGAAUCUUCCGCAAUGGGCGAAAGCCUGACGGAGCAACGCCGCGUGAGUGAUGAAGGUCUUCGGAUCGUAAAACUCUGUUAUUAGGGAAGAACAUAUGUGUAAGUAACUGUGCACAUCUUGACGGUACCUAAUCAGAAAGCCACGGCUAACUACGUG